rnacentral:rRNA from 1 species
GACGAACGCUGGCGGCGUGCUUAACACAUGCAAGUCGAACGGAAAGGCCCUGCUUUUGUGGGGUGCUCGAGUGGCGAACGGGUGAGUAACACGUGAGUAACCUGCCCUUGACUUUGGGAUAACUUCAGGAAACUGGGGCUAAUACCGGAUAGGAGCUCCUGCCGCAUGGUGGGGGUUGGAAAGUUUCGGCGGUUGGGGAUGGACUCGCGGCUUAUCAGCUUGUUGGUGGGGUAGUGGCUUACCAAGGCUUUGACGGGUAGCCGGCCUGAGAGGGUGACCGGCCACAUUGGGACUGAGAUACGGCCCAGACUCCUACGGGAGGCAGCAGUGGGGAAUAUUGCACAAUGGGCGGAAGCCUGAUGCAGCAACGCCGCGUGCGGGAUGACGGCCUUCGGGUUGUAAACCGCUUUCGCCUGUGACGAAGCGUGAGUGACGGUAAUGGGUAAAGAAGCACCGGCUAACUACGUGCCAGCAGCCGCGGUGAUACGUAGGGUGCGAGCGUUGUCCGGAUUUAUUGGGCGUAAAGGGCUCGUAGGUGGUUGAUCGCGUCGGAAGUGUAAUCUUGGGGCUUAACCCUGAGCGUGCUUUCGAUACGGGUUGACUUGAGGAAGGUAGGGGAGAAUGGAAUUCCUGGUGGAGCGGUGGAAUGCGCAGAUAUCAGGAGGAGCACCAGUGGCGAAGGCGGUUCUCUGGGCCUUUCCUGACGCUGAGGAGCGAAAGCGUGGGGAGCGAACAGGCUUAGAUACCCUGGUAGUCCACGCUGUAAACGGUGGGUACUAGGUGUGGGGUCCAUUCCACGGGUUCCGUGCCGUAGCUAACGCUUUAAGUACCCCGCCUGGGGAGUACGGCCGCAAGGCUAAAACUCAAGGGAAUUGACGGGGCCCCGCACAAGCGGCGGAGCAUGCGGAUUAAUUCGAUGCAACGCGUAGAACCUUACCUGGGUUUGACAUGGAUCGGGAGUGCUCAGAGAUGGGUGUGCCUCUUUUGGGGUCGGUUCACAGGUGGUGCAUGGCUGUCGUCAGCUCGUGUCGUGAGAUGUUGGGUUAAGUCCCGCAACGAGCGCAACCCUUGUUCACUGUUGCCAGCACGUUAUGGUGGGGACUCAGUGGAGACCGCCGGGGUCAACUCGGAGGAAGGUGGGGAUGACGUCAAGUCAUCAUGCCCCUUAUGUCCAGGGCUUCACGCAUGCUACAAUGGCUGGUACAGAGAGUGGCGAGCCUGUGAGGGUGAGCGAAUCUCGGAAAGCCGGUCUCAGUUCGGAUUGGGGUCUGCAACUCGACCACAUGAAGUCGGAGUCGCUAGUAAUCGCAGAUCAGCAACGCUGCGGUGAAUACGUUCCCGGG